rnacentral:rRNA from 1 species
UCCUAGAGAUAGGAAUUUCCCCUUCGGGGGACAGGGUGACAGGUGGUGCAUGGUUGUCGUCAGCUCGUGUCGUGAGAUGUUGGGUUAAGUCCCGCAACGAGCGCAACCCUUGAUCUUAGUUGCCAGCAUUCAGUUGGGCACUCUAAGGUGACUGCCGGUGACAAACCGGAGGAAGGUGGGGAUGACGUCAAAUCAUCAUGCCCCUUAUGACCUGGGCUACACACGUGCUACAAUGGAUGGAGCCGCGAGGUGGAGCCAAUCCCACAAAACCAUUCUCAGUUCGGAUUGCAGGCUGCAACUCGCCUGCAUGAAGCCGGAAU